rnacentral:rRNA from 1 species
GACGAACGCUGGCGGCGUGCUUAACACAUGCAAGUCGAACGGAAAGGCCCUGCUUUUGUGGGGUGCUCGAGUGGCGAACGGGUGAGUAACACGUGAGUAACCUGCCCUUGACUUUGGGAUAACUUCAGGAAACUGGGGCUAAUACCGGAUAGGAGCUCCUGCUGCAUGGUGGGGGUUGGAAAGUUUCGGCGGUUGGGGAUGGACUCGCGGCUUAUCAGCUUGUUGGUGGGGUAGGGGCUUACCAAGGCUUUGACGGGUAGCCGGCCUGAGAGGGUGACCGGCCACAUUGGGACUGAGAUACGGCCCAGACUCCUACGGGAGGCAGCGGUGGGGAAUAUUGCACAAUGGGCGGAAGCCUGAUGCAGCAACGCCGCGUGCGGGAUGACGGCCUUCGGGUUGUAAACCGCUUUCGCCUGUGACGAAGCGUGAGUGACGGUAAUGGGUAAAGAAGCACCGGCUAACUACGUG